AAUCAACGCUGGCGGCGUGCCUCAGACAUGCAAGUCGAACGAUUAAAGCUCUCUUCGGAGAGUGCAUAAAGUGGCGCACGGGUGAGUAACACGUAAGUAAUCUACCUUCGAGUGGGGAAUAACAUCGGGAAACCGAUGCUAAUACCGCAUAAUGCAGCGGCAUCGCAAGAUGACAGUUGUUAAAGAUUUAUCGCUUGAAGAGGAGCUUGCGGCAGAUUAGCUAGUUGUAAGGUAAUGGCUUACCAAGGCUACGAUCUGUAACCGGUCUAAGAGGACGGUCGGUCACACUGACACUGAAUAACGGGUCAGACUCCUACGGGAGGCAGCAGUCGGGAAUUUUGGCAAUGGGCGAAAGCCUGACCCAGCAACGCCGCGUGAAGGAUGAAGUAUUUCGGUAUGUAAACUUCGAAAGAAUAGAAGAAUAAAUGAC
rnacentral:rRNA from 1 species